UGCCAGCCGCCGCGGUAAUACGAAGGGUGCAAGCGUUGUUCGGAUUUAUUGGGCGUAAAGCGUGCGCAGGCGGAUAUGUAAGUCAGGUGUGAAAUCUCGGGGCUCAACCCCGAAACUGCGCCUGAAACUACUUAUCUAGAAUCUCGGAGGGGGUAGGGGAAUUUCGCAUGUAGGGGUAAAAUCCGUAGAGAUGCGAAGGAACACCGGAGGCGAAGGCGCCUACCUGGACGAGUAUUGACGCUGAGGCACGAAAGCGUGGGGAGCAAACAGGAUUAGAUA
rnacentral:rRNA from 1 species